AACGAACGCUGGCGGCAGGCUUAACACAUGCAAGUCGAACGGGCGUAGCAAUACGUCAGUGGCAGACGGGUGAGUAACACGUGGGAACCUUCCUCGUAGUACGGAACAACUCAGGGAAACUUGAACUAAUACCGUAUACGUCCGAGAGGAGAAAGAUUUAUCGCUAUGAGACGGGCCCGCGUCCGAUUAGGUAGUUGGUGGGGUAACGGCCUACCAAGCCGACGAUCGGUAGCUGAUCUGAGAGGANGAUCAGCCACACUGGGACUGAGACACGGCCCAGACUCCUACGGGAGGCAGCAGUGGGGAAUCUUGGACAAUGGGCGGCAAGCCUGAUCCAGCCAUGCCGCGUGAGUGAAGAAGGCCUUAGGGUUGUAAAGCUCUUUUGCCAGGGACGAUAAUGACGGUACCU
rnacentral:rRNA from 1 species